rnacentral:snoRNA from 1 species
UCACUGUGAUGAUGGAUUCUAAAACCAUUUGUAGUUUACACCAGAAGCCCUAUGCUGGACACUUACUUCCUUGGAUGUAUGAGUGA